rnacentral:rRNA from 1 species
UGAAAUCUCGGAGCUCAACUCCGAAACUGCGUCUGAAACUGCUAGUCUAGAAUAUCGGAGGGGGCAGGGGAAUUUCACGUGUAGGGGUAAAAUCCGUAGAGAUGUGAAGGAACACCGGAGGCGAAGGCGCCUGCCUGGACGAUACUUGACGCUGAGGCGCGAAAGCGUGGGGAGCAAACAGGAUUAGAUACCCUGGUAGUCCACGCCGUAAACGAUGAACACUAGUUAUUGGGGGUAUUGACUCCCUCAGUGACGCAGCUAACGCAUUAAG